GAAGUCUUUCUGGAAUGCCUCUCUGGGCCAUUGCUAGGCAACGGCGAUGAAGCAUUAAAGAAGACAACACAGGUCCUGCCUUCAUGGGGCUUACCCUCUGGUGAUAAGAAAGUGAAUAUAAUUGUAUUUGAAGGAUACUGAGAAGGAGGAAGACAUGGCUGACAGUGAGAAUCAUCCAAACUGAGACUGGCUAUCUAUCUGUAAUCAAGAUCCAGACAAAUGUAUGCCACUACGGUGAAGAGGAAGUCCUUGGAGCCCCAGUUGGCAGGAGGUGAUCUGGAACCAAAGUCACUUAACUUCACUGAGCCUCAGUUUCCCCAUCUGCAAAAUGAGGAUAUUAUGUACCAAAGGAGAUAUUUUCAGUACAGUGCCAUCAACUGCCUGACACCAGCAGCUGCUUACACAAGUAGCAUGAACUCUGCUGCCCCUGGCAGGUGGUGCUCCGCCCUUUCCUUCCUAUCCAGUUUGGAUCAGAAAUGAAAGGACAGUCCCACGGAAGGCUUGAGCACAGCCUGAGGCAGAUGAUAAAGUGCAUCACUAUGCAAAAUCACACUACUUUUCUGGGUCCUGCCACCAGUCUCUAAAACCAAAAUAAAAUAAACUACUCUCAACUCA
rnacentral:lncRNA from 13 species